CGCACAUUGCGCCCCGUGGUAUUCCGCGGGGCAUGCCUGUUCGAGCGUCAUUUAGACCAAUCCAGCUUGCUGGGUCUUGGGCUCUCGCCUCCGGGCGGGCCUCAAAAUCAGUGGCGGCGCCGUCUGGCUCUAAGCGCAGUAAUUCUUCUCGCUAUGGAGUCCUAGGCGGUAGCUUGCCAGCAACCCUCAACGUAUCAAGGUUGACCUCGGAUCAGGUAGGGAUACCCGCUGAACUUAA
rnacentral:misc_RNA from 1 species